rnacentral:rRNA from 1 species
GUGAGGAAUAUUGUACAAUGGGCGCAAGCCUGAUCCAGCCAUGCCGCGUGCAGGAAGACGCAUCUAUGGUGUGUAAACUGCUUUUGUACGGGAAGAAACACUCCCUCGUGAGGGAGCUUGACGGUACCGUAAGAAUGAGGAUCGGCUAACUCCGUGCCAGCAGCCGCGGUAAUACGGAGGAUCCAAGCGUUAUCCGGAAUCAUUGGGUUUAAAGGGUACGUAGGCGGUUUAAUAAGUCAGUGGAGAAAGCCCAUCGCUCAACGAUGGAACGGCCAUUGAUACUGUUAGACUUGAAUUACAAGGAAGUAACUAGAAUAUGUAGUGUAGCGGUGAAAUGCUUAGAUAUUACAUGGAAUACCAAUUGCGAAAGCAGGUUACUACUUGUGGAUUGACGCUGAUGGACGAAAGCGUGGGGAGCGAACAGGAUUAGAUACCCCAGUAGUCC